rnacentral:rRNA from 1 species
UAAUACGUAGGUGGCAAGCGUUGUCCGGAUUUACUGGGCGUAAAGAGCGCGCAGGCGGUCAAUCAAGUCGAGUGUGAAAGCCCCCGGCUCAACUGGGGAGGGUCACUCGAUACUGCUUGACUCGAAGGCGGGAGAGGGAAGUGGAAUUCCCGGUGUAGUGGUGAAAUGCGUAGAUAUCGGGAGGAACACCAGUGGCGAAGGC